AAUCAACGCUGGCGGCAUGCCUUACACAUGCAAGUCGAACGGUAACAGGUCUUCGGAUGCUGACGAGUGGCGAACGGGUGAGUAAUACAUCGGAACGUGCCUAGUAGUGGGGGAUAACUACUCGAAAGAGUGGCUAAUACCGCAUGAGAUCUACGGAUGAAAGCAGGGGAUCGCAAGACCUUGUGCUACUAGAGCGGCCGAUGGCAGAUUAGGUAGUUGGUGGGAUAGAAGCUUACCAAGCCGACGAUCUGUAGCUGGUCUGAGAGGACGAUCAGCCACACUGGGACUGAGACACGGCCCAGACUCCUACGGGAGGCAGCAGUGGGGAAUUUUGGACAAUGGGCGCAAGCCUGAUCCAGCAAUGCCGCGUGCAGGAUGAAGGCCUUCGGGUUGUAAACUGCUUUUGUACGGAACGAAAAGCCCCGGGUUAAUACCCUGGGGUCAUGACGGUACCGUAAGAAUAAGCACCGGCUAACUACGUGCCAGCCGCCGCAGUAAAAC
rnacentral:rRNA from 1 species